rnacentral:rRNA from 1 species
UACAGAGGUCCCAAGCGUUGUUCGGAUUCACUGGGCGUAAAGGGUGCGUAGGCGGUUGGGUAAGUCUGAUGUGAAAUCUCACAGCUUAACUGUGAAACUGCAUUGGAUACUAUCCAACUCGAGGAAUGGAGGGGAGACUGGAAUACUUGGUGUAGCAGUGAAAUGCGUAGAUAUCAAGUGGAACACCAGUGGCGAAGGCGGUUCUCUGGGCCUGUACUGACGCUGAGGAGCGAAAGCGUGGGGAGCGAACAGG